rnacentral:rRNA from 1 species
UACGUAGGGUGCAAGCGUUGUCCGGAAUUAUUGGGCGUAAAGAGCUCGUAGGCGGUUUGUCGCGUCUGCUGUGAAAAUCCGAGGCUCAACCUCGGACCUGCAGUGGGUACGGGCAAACUAGAGUGCGGUAGGGGAGAUUGGAAUUCCUGGUGUAGCGGUGGAAUGCGCAGAUAUCAGGAGGAACACCAAUGGCGAAGGCAGAUCUCUGGGCCGUAACUGACGCUGAGGAGCGAAAGCGUGGGGAGCGAACAAGAUUAGAUACCCUGGUAGUCCACGCCGUAAACGGUGGGAACUAGAUGUGGGGUCCGUUCCACGGAUUCCGUGUCGCAGCUAACGCAUUAAGUUCCCCGCCUGGGGAGUACGGCCGCAAGGCUAAAACUCAAAGGAAUUGACGGGGGCCCGCACAAGCGGCGGAGCAUGCGGAUUAAUUCGAUGCAACGCGAAGAACCUUACCAAGGCUUGACAUAUAGAGGAAAAGUGUAGAAAUACACUCCCCGCAAGGUCUCUAUACGGGUGGUGCAUGGUUGUCGUCAGCUCGUGUCGUGAGAUGUUGGGUUAAGUCCCGCAACGAGCGCAACCCUCGUUCUAUGUUGCCAGCACGUAAAGGUGGGAACUCAUGGGAUACUGCCGGGGUCAACUCGGAGGAAGGUGGGGAUGACGUCAAAUCAUCAUGCCCCUUAUGUCUUGGGCUUCACGCAUGCUACAAUGGCCGGUACAGAGGGCAGCAAUACCGCAAGGUGGAGCGAAUCCCAAAAAGCCGGUCUCAGUUCGGAUUGAGGUCUGCAACUCGACCUCAUGAAGUUGGAGUCGCUAGUAAUCGUGAAUCAGCAACGUCACGGUGAAUACGUUCCCGGGCCU